AUACGGGGGGUGCAAGCGUUAUUCGGAAUCACUGGGCGUAAAGGACGCGUAGGCGGGUUGGCAAGUCAGAUGUGAAAUCCUACAGCUUAACUGUAGAACUGCAUUUGAAACUGCUAACCUAGAGUAUGGGAGGGGGAGAUGGAAUUAGUGGUGUAGGGGUAAAAUCCGUAGAUAUCACUAGGAAUACCGAAAGCGAAGGCGAUCUCCUGGAACAUAACUGACGCUAAGGCGUGAAAGCGUGGGGAGCAAACAGGAUUAGAAACCCUUGUAGUCC
rnacentral:rRNA from 1 species